UUGACAUCCCAGGAGAGUUCUUGCCAUCCUCAUCCACACACUAUUAAUAGCACAGGCAUUGGCCAUGUGCACUAUCCCACACCACACUGAAACUGGACUUCAACCCUCUGCUAUAGAGGCCACCCCUGGUGAUGAGAAGGAGCUUGUCCUUCAUAGCAAUUUCAUUCUUGGCUUUU
rnacentral:sRNA from 1 species